rnacentral:tRNA from 1 species
GGCUUAGUCAGUAAAGUGCUUGCCUCUUAACCAAGUGGACCUGGGUUCAAUCCCCAG